CGUACUGAAGUUGCCGCGAAUGAAAUUGCAACGUCAGUAAGCAUACAUCUCAUUCUCAUUCGAGAUUGUACAAAGUCUCCUAGCGUGUCUCAUUACGUCACAAGAGUUAAAAUAACUGCUUGAAACUAAAUGAUCAAAGUUUCAUCACAACCAUAGUAUCGUACAAAAUGAUAUCGCCAAUGAAAUGCGUGAAAUCGGUAAAUCCAAUAUAUGUAUACUUGAUAGUAUGACCUUUUGAACUUGGCAUCGAACUUGAACAACACAUUGUAUACAGAUUCAAUGAAGAAUAUCAUCGCAUUAUUCCUAACGAAAACAAAUCAUAAAUCACUGAAUAAGAAUAAAAAAUUGCAAUUGAAGAAUAUCAAGAAAAAGGAAAAGGAAUGAGAUCCGCUGGGGAUCGAGCCUCUUGGCCGAUGACCAGUUGAACCAAUAGUAAAACGUCUCGGAACCAACGCCUACCAAUUCAACCAAUCGCAGAUUAACUUUACCGAAGGCGCGUCAUACGUAUCCGCUUUUUCUGAUCAUUGAGAACCAAACAUCAUUGACUCUUGAUGAAAUGACGCAUGAUUGAAUAAAUUUUAUAAUC
rnacentral:lncRNA from 1 species